AGAGUUUGACAGCUCCAUAGAGAGUGAAUUUUUUUGACAGUUCCGAGAGGAAGUGACUUUUUUUAUAGUUGUUCUUUAUGCGACAAUGGUCUUUUGCGUGUCUGGAAUCAAGUUAGUAAACAUUUUCGAAUUACAACUUCAACUUUUAUUUAUAAAUUAUUUUAUUGAAUCUAUUUGCAUUCUAUAAAUGAAAUGAUUAUUUAAAAGUAUAUUAAUUCAAAGUCGUAAUUUUCACUUUAAUCAAUUUAGUUCCGUCUCAAGUCUACAACUGUGACAUUAUUAAAAAAAAAAACGUCAAAAAUUUUCAUCGAAAAAACGUGUUUUUCUUUAAACAAAUUUUAUCUAAUUAAAAUCAAUAAUUUCUCAAUCAAUAUUAAUAAGAACUACAUGUGCAUGGAUUGCCAGUUGGAUUGAUGUUUGUUUUAAGAAGAAAUUUCUCUCAACUAAGAUAUCCACUCGAGAAAGGUUAUUGCAAUUUGCAGCUUGCAGCAACAUCAUGUUUUAUCAAGUAUUGAACCACACAAAGGAUUAAAUCUUCAUUACAAUAUCAUUCAUAACUCCAUUUAAAUCAAUGGAAACUAAAUAUGGAUCGUUUCAUGGAGUAACAACAUACUUUGUAGUUUGGACCCAAAAUACAAUACACGUAGGUUAAUAUCGAACUUAUAAGGUGUUAAGCUGCAAUUACAAUAAAAGUGCUUGCUAUGGAAUCACCGGUGCUGAUCAUUAUUGUCAACUGUUACUUAAAAUCCAGAUGAACCAGCCUUUACUUCCUAUUCAAAUAAGUUUAGAAGAAACCUAUAUAAGCAAUAAAACCAGACCAAGAAUGCUUGAUUACAAACGAUGAACUCAUUUCAUUUGCAAGUUAUGCCAUGACAUAAAUGCAUUAAAUUAGGAAGAUUUGUAUUAGAUGAAUAUUAACUUCUGUUGAUAAGAACAUUUGAUUGGUGGAAUCCAGAUUCUGUGAAUGUACAUGUAAUUGAUUGACAAGUACACAUUUGACAAGGUGGUGAGAAACGUGUAGAUCUGGCCUGCUUACAGUGGCUAUUGGAUUGGACAGAACCAAAGUGAGAGUGAACGUGUGAAUUUAUGGAGAACAUUAAAAACUAUUUUACUAUAAGUCAUAACGCAACUUAUUUUGUAUGAGUUACAUACAAAUGUCAAGCCGUGAGUACAUUAUGUAAAAACUAAAACAAUGUACCUACUGUAAUCACAACAGUAACUGUAAUCUUUUAAAAUCCAAUAGUUUUAAUGCUUAUUGAUUUUCGUAAACAAAAUAUUUCAUGUUAUAUUUCAUCAAUAAAGUUUCAUUUGAUA